rnacentral:rRNA from 1 species
GACGAACGCUGGCGGCGCGCCUAACACAUGCAAGUCGAACGAGCGAGCGAGAGCUUGCUUUCUUGAGCGAGUGGCGAACGGGUGAGUAACGCGUGAGGAACCUGCCUCAAAGAGGGGGACAACAGUUGGAAACGACUGCUAAUACCGCAUAAGCCCACGGUGCCGCAUGGCACAGAGGGAAAAGGAGCAAUCCGCUUUGAGAUGGCCUCGCGUCCGAUUAGCUAGUUGGUGAGGUAACGGCCCACCAAGGCGACGAUCGGUAGCCGGACUGAGAGGUUGAACGGCCACAUUGGGACUGAGACACGGCCCAGACUCCUACGGGAGGCAGCAGUGGGGAAUAAUGCACAAUGGGGGAAACCCUGAUGCAGCGACGCCGCGUGGAGGAAGAAGGUCUUCGGAUUGUAAACUCCUGUUGUUGGGGAAGAUAAUGACGGUACCCAACAAGGAAGUGACGGCUAACUACGU